rnacentral:lncRNA from 1 species
GGACAAACACUUCCCAGCAUCUUUCAUUAACUGGCUGAUUGAAAUUGCAGAAACCCAGCGGUCCUCCUAUCUCUAGGAUCAGCAUGGCACCCCUGCCAGGACUACGAAACAUCUUUGUGAACCUGAAGGUCCCUGGCGGCCUGGAGCAAAGUCAUGCAGAGCCAAGUGGGGAGACAGGAGGGAAGCAGAGUGGCCUUUGGUGUUCUCCCAGAACCCCCAGCACCUGCUUUCCUUGGUCCAGCAAUAACCCCGGGGAGGCCUUCAGGUGCCAAAAGACCCAGAGUGGGAGGCUCUCAGGAUGUCUGUUCUUUCAGGCAACAAAUACAGUCAGGUCACAUUUGAUGUGACUCUGAUUUAUGCAAACAUGAAACAAUGUCCUGUGAAAUAUUAAUGAAGUUUCACUUUGUGAACAGAAAGCUAACUUUUUUUCCCCUUGUUAAGAGCAUACAACUAAACACAGUCCAGUGUCUCCCACCUUAGGAAGAAUCCAGGUCCUUUCUUUUGACACCCCACUCCCUCCAGCUCCACCCCCCUUUCCCUUCUCA